GAUGAAGAACGUAGCGAAAUGCGAUAAGUAAUGUGAAUUGCAGAAUUCAGUGAAUCAUCGAAUCUUUGAACGCACAUUGCGCCCAUUAGUAUUCUAGUGGGCAUGCCUGUUCGAGCGUCAUUAAGUCCACUUAAGCCCUGCUUAGUGUUGGGAGACUGCUCCAGCGGUGCUACCCUGUAGCUACCCUGCAGCUCCUCAAAGACAGCGGCGGAGUUGUGGUAUCCUCUGAGCUUAGUAACUUGUUCUAGCUUUCGAGUACACCACUUCCCCUGCCGUAAACCCUUAAUUUUUAAUGGUUGACCUCGGAUCAGGUAGGAAUACCCGCUGAACUUAAGCAUAUCAAUAAGCGGAGGA
rnacentral:misc_RNA from 1 species